rnacentral:rRNA from 1 species
ACGUCCCUGCCCUUUGUACACACCGCCCGUCGCUACUACCGAUUGAAUGGCUUAGUGAGACCCUCGGAUUGUAGAUCGUGGUGUUGGCAACAACAUACGGUUAGCGAGAAGUUGGUCAAACUUGGUCAUUUAGAGGAAGUAAAAGUCGUAACAAGGUUUCCGUAGGUGAACCUGCGGAAGGAUCAUUAAAAAAGGGUCGCAAGACCCAUUUUAAAACCUAUCACCACCUCUCAUCGUCUAUGGGGGUUGAGAUGGAGGAGGUAGGACUUUUAAACCCAAUUUUUAUAAAAUAUAUAUAUCUCGUCCAAGGACGAAAUAAAAAAAUGUAAAAACUUUCAACAAUGGAUCUCUUGGUUCUCGCAUCGAUGAAGAACGCAGCGAAUUGCGAUAAGUAGUGUGAAUUGCAGAAUUCUGUGAAUCAUCGAAUCUUUGAACGCAUAUUGCGCUCUCUGGUACUCCGGAGAGCAUGCCUGUUUGAGGGUAAUUAAAUAAAAUCUUUGAUCUUUCUUGGGUCAAAGGACAUGGGCAUUCCGCGAUUUUUUCAGCGGUAGCCUGAAAUGGAUGGUUUAGUCUCAUCAAGUCGAGACGCGUAAUAAUCAAUUAUUUCGCUUAACGGUUGACGGGCUACCAAGUUUUGAUAGAUUCAGCCUCGGUUGGAUGGUGGUCAAAACAAAUAACAUUUUGACAUUACCUCAAAUCAGGCAGGAAUACCCGCUGAACUUAAGCAUAUCAAUAAGCGGAGGAAAAGAAACUAACCAGGAUUCCCCUAGUAACGGCGAGUGAAGCGGGAACAGCUCAAAUUUUAAAUCUGGUCGGCGUGGUCGGCCCGAGUUGUAAUUUAAAGAAGCGGUUAUCACGUUUUCGUUCGGGUUUAAGUUCCUUGGAAUAGGACAUCAGAGAGGGUGAGAAUCCCGUCUGUGAUCCGAUCGGUUGCGGUACGAUAUCGUUUCUAAGAGUCGAGUUGUUUGGGAUUGCAGCUCUAAAUGGGUGGUAAAUUCCAUCUAAGGCUAAAUAUAGGCGAGAGACCGAUAGCGAACAAGUACCGUGAGGGAAAGAUGAAAAGAACUUUGAAAAGAGAGUUAAACAGUACGUGAAAUUGUUGAUAGGGAAACGAUUGAAGUCAGUCAUGCCAGCGAGAAAUCAGCCUACAGGCCACUGUGGGUGCACUUUAUCGCAAGGCAGGUUAACAUCGAUUUUUGUUGCGUUAUAAUGAUUGUAGGAAGGUGGCUCCCUCGGGAGUGUUAUAGCCUACUUUAGAUGACGUGAUGGAGAUCGAGGAUUGCAGCGAAUGCCUUUUGGCUACGGGUCUGUUUUCUGUCGACUGGUCAAUCGACACUCAGCUUGCUGAGCUUGAUUGAUCGGGCGACAAUAAGGUGGAAUCCGAUAAAUUCGCUAAGGAUGUUGACGUAAUGGCUUUAAACGACCCGUCUUGAAACACGG